GAUGAACGCUGACAGAAUGCUUAACACAUGCAAGUCAACUGUGGCGGACGGGUGAGUAACGCGUAAAGAACUAGCCUCACAGAUAGGGACAACAUUUGGAAACGAAUGCUAAUACCUGAAACUGUGAGAGAGCUUUGCGUCCCAUUAGCGAGUUGGAGAGGUAACGGCUCACUAAGGCGAUGAUGGGUAGCCGGCCUGCGAGGGUGAUCGGCCACAAGGGGACUGGGGCACGGCCCUGACUCUGUAGGGAGGCAGGAGUGUGGAAUAUAUGACAAUGGACCAAAGUAUGAUCCAGCAAUUCUGUGUGCAAGAUGAAGUUUUCGGAAUGUAAAUUGCUUUCUGUUGGGAAGCGGUACCAACAGAAGAAGUGACGGCUAAAUCCGUGCCAGCAGCCGCGGUAAUUC
rnacentral:rRNA from 1 species